AGUGAACGCUGGCGGUAGGCCUAACACAUGCAAGUCGAACGGCAGCACAGGAGAGCUUGCUCUCUGGGUGGCGAGUGGCGGACGGGUGAGGAAUACAUCGGAAUCUACUCUGUCGUGGGGGAUAACGUAGGGAAACUUACGCUAAUACCGCAUACGACCUACGGGUGAAAGAAGGGAACCUUCGGGCCUUGCGCGAGUGAAGGAGCCGAUGUCGGAUUAGCUAGUUGGCGGGGUAAAGGCCCACCAAGGCGACGAUCCGUAGCUGGUCUGAGAGGAUGAUCAGCCGCACUGGGACUGAGACACGGUCCAGACUCCUACGGGAGGCAGCAGUGGGGAAUAUUGGACAAUGGGCGCAAGCCUGAUCCAGCCAUACCGCGUGGGUGAAGAAGGCCUUCGGGUUGUAAAGCCCUUUUGUUGGGAAAGAAAUCCAGCUGGCUAAUACCCGGUUGGGAUGACGGUACCCAAAGAAUAAGCACCGGCUAACUUCGUGCCAGCAGCCGCAGUAA
rnacentral:rRNA from 1 species